rnacentral:rRNA from 1 species
GAUGAACGCUAGCUACAGGCUUAACACAUGCAAGUCGAGGGACCGGCGCACGGGUGAGUAACACGUAUCCAACCUGCCCUUUACUCGGGGAUAGCCUUUCGAAAGAAAGAUUAAUACCCGAUGUAAAGGAUGGGGAUGCGUUCCAUUAGGUUGUUGGUGAGGUAACGGCUCACCAAGCCUUCGAUGGAUAGGGGUUCUGAGAGGAAGGUCCCGCACAUCGGAACUGAGACACGGGCCAAACUCAUACGGGAGGCAGAAGUAAGGAAUAAUGGGCAAUGGGCGUUAGCCUGAACCAACAAAAUAGAGUGAAGGAUGAAGGAUUAGGGGUAAUAAACUUCUUUUAUAUAAGAAAAUGUAUUAAAUGAAUAAGGAUAGGCUAACUCCGUGCCAGCCGCCGCGGUAAAAC